UACGUAGGGACCAAGCGUUGUUCGGAUUUACUGGGCGUAAAGAGCUCGUAGGCGGCUCGUCGCGUCAGCUGUGAAAACCCGCGGCUUAACCGUGGGCUUGCAGCUGAUACGGGCGGGCUAGAGUUCGGUAGGGGAGACUGGAAUUCCUGGUGUAGCGGUGAAAUGCGCAGAUAUCAGGAGGAACACCGGUGGCGAAGGCGGGUCUCUGGGCCGAUACUGACGCUGAGGAGCGAAAGCGUGGGGAGCGAACAGG
rnacentral:rRNA from 1 species